UCCACUGGAAUUUGGCCAUGGAAACAUGAGCUUGAAAGGUUGAGAUGAGUUAGAUUUUGGAGUUUAUCAAACCCAUAGGAAAACAGAGUGGUAUUAAAGUUGUUUCCAGCAAGAUUCAGGUGUUGAAGAUGAUGGAGAUCGAAUAUGGAGUGGAAGCUGCCUGAAAGGUUUUUGUAACUAAGAUCAAUGCCAACGACAUGACCAUAAGCAUCACAAGUGACUCCUUCCCAAGAACAACAAUCAGUGUUGACAUCCCAGAGGUCAAAAUUGGAAGAGAAAGUAAAAUUAGGGGCACAGUAAAGAUGACGCUGCAAUUGCAGCAGAGGAGCUCUCUGGUCAUCAAGGCAUUGCUGAGGGAGAUGAGUUUGAGGAGGUGAAAAAGACAAGACAAGAGAAAGGAAGCAUGAGAAGAGGAAGGGUGAAAUAAGGAAAUGAAGAGUGUUCAUGUUGGUUGGGUGUGAAGAAGGAUUGUGCUUGGCAUACAACUUAUUUAUACACAAAUGUGUAGUUUUCAUGUUUGGCAUAUAACUUAUUUAUUAUUAGUAUUAUUAUUAUUAUCCCAUGCUUGCAAAGGUUGACCAAAAAGACUUAACUAAAGUGGUGGAACAUUAUUUUGAUGCAGUAUUGAUUGGGCAAAAAGACUUCGAAAUUGCAUGCUAUGCCAAACAUGAAAACUACACAUUUGUGUAUAAAUAUUAGACAUAUUAGAGGGAUUGAAACUGAAAUUUAACAUUUUAUUGUAAAUUUUUUUUUUAAAAAAAAGAUAAAGGAAAGGAAAGGAAAUAAAUUAUAGAUUAAAUCUCAAAUUUAGGCAUAUUAAAGAAACUAAAUUUUAAAUUUUUUUGUAAAAUGUAAAAUUAAAAAAGAAAAGGAAAAAUGAUUGGGUAUGCGACAUGUAAAAAGAAAGAAGGUCGAAACCAAUUUUUAUAUAUAAGUAUAUAGAUUAUAUAUAAUUAUUCUUACAUAAUUUAAUUUUUUUAAUAAAAAUUACUAUUAAAAUCUUUUAAUUAAAUUUUGGUAUAACACCCAAAAGAAUUAAUUUAUAUACCAAACUAAUUUAUAAAUGAGUACUUUUAAGUCCUAAUUUAUGAAACAGUACCAAACUUAUAAAUAUGCUAUGACCUAUUGAAGGGUUUAAUUAAAUUUAACACCCCAAAUUAUAAGUUGCAUCAUUCUAAAUUUAUCUCUAAACUUCAAAAACUUUUAACUAAAUAAUAGUAAAAUAUAUUGUUGGUCUUAGUCUUAGUUUUAAUAUUUGGGAUUGCAAGCGAAUUUCUAAGUCUUAGUAUAAGAAUAGAAUGUUAUUAACCUUAGUCAUGAAAAUAAUGUUUCUACCACUUUUCUUAACUGAUUGAGAGACAUUGAUGGGUCAAAGACUAAAUUUUGUUGGUGACUUCUCAAUGAACUUGUCCAAGUGUAUCAAAUCAAUAGAAACACAAUGAAACUAAAUAAUGGUUUGGUUUGAGGAAAAUAUAAGCUAUUCUUAGUCUUUGCUUUCAUUUGCACAAUGUUUGGCACUUUUCUUAUCAUAUUUGAACUUCACUCCAUAUGUUUGCUUUCAAUUUAAAACCAUAUUUAUUAUGUGGAUUAAAUCAUAGUAUUGUUAUUCAAAUUUAAAAUAAAGAAAUUAUUUCUCAAGGUAUCUAGUUGGUAAGUAAAUAUUUGCAUUUUGUUAGCCCAUUUACAGAGUAGAUGCCAUAGUUUUAAAAGUUGCUUCACAAUUAAGCCGAGGAUCGAAUCCUCGACCACGGAUUAAGGUAAGAAAGACUCUUACCAUCUCAUCUAACUCUAGUUAUUAAAAUUAAAAUUAAUUUGAAUACCAUAAAUUCAAAUAUUAAUAUUUACAUCUAUUCCAAAUUCAUUAUACAUAAUAAUUAAAAUAUUCAAAUCUAAAUAUUAUCAAAAUUCGUACUCUGGUGAUUAAAAUAUUUGUAUCCUAUUAGUCAUAUUAAUUAUGAUAUUUUCGUCAUUUUGCUUCAUCUUUAUUCUAUUAUGAUAUUUUCAUACUAUUAAUCAUAUUUGAUGUUCGCGAUUUAUUGAUAUAAAAUUUUUAGACAUUAAAUGAUGUUAUUAUUCUAAAUAUAUGCAAGCUCGACUUUGAAGUCCAACCUAUUUUAAACAUCUUUCCUUGUUGAUUGUGGAGAAUGGACCGUGAUUGCAUUGAAAAUACCAUUGAAGAAUAAUAAUUAAAAUAAUCAUAUUUUAUACUAUAAAAUAUUUAUUAUUGAAUAUUUAUAAAUUAUAUAUAUUUUUCUCAUUAAAAUAUCAAUAUAAAUAUUUUUUAAUUAUAUAUUAAGAAUAUUAUUUAAAAUUAAAUUAAAUUAUUAAAAUUUAUUAAUAAAAUAAAAUUAUAAUAUUAAAAUUAAAAAUAUAUUAUUAAUAUAAUUAUAUUAAACUUGAUUCAAAUUAAUUUUGUAUAUAAAGAUAAAAAUAUUCAUAAAUAAGCUUUGUUCGAUAAAUUAAUUACGUUUUCCAAAAAGUCAAAUUAAUUUACAGAAAAAUGAUAUUAUUUAAAUUUCCAUACUAAAAUACUUUUAAAUUUAAUUAAAAUUAUCAAAGACGAAUGAAAUUCAUGAAAUUAAUUUAACAACUUUUCAAUUUUUCGAAAAAAUCAAUUUGAUUCUUCUUCUUUUUUCAAAAUUUAUCAAGCCAAUUGAAACACAAAAAAAUUUAAUAUUUUUAAUUUUUGACUGACAAAAAAAAUGAUACUAUGAGAUAUUUUUUAUAUUAUUAGACCUAAUCUUAAUCUUUGGCAUUCCAUGCAAAUGUCUAAAUCUUUUUGCCCCUUUACUACGGCAUUAAAACAAUGUUUAGCAAAUUUCUUAGGGAGAUGGAUUGAUGGAUAUAAGUAGUGGAAAUUUUGAUGAUACAAUUCUUCUCUUCUUAACAAUUUCUUUCAAAGAAACAUAUUUAAAUUUCCACACCGAAACUUCUUUAAUUUAAAGGAAUAAAUCUUAAAAUUAUAAACUAUGUGUUAAUGUGUAAUUGUAUACAUGAAUUUUGAUUUUAUGCAAUGUUAUACAUGAAAUUUUGAUUUGAUUCAAUUCUUGUAAUUUAUUAACACAAUUAUUGAUAUAACAACAUUUUAUGUCUAUAUAUUGUAUACAUAAAUAAUUAUAUUUAUCUAAUAUAAAAAUAAAUUGAUGUUUUUAUUUCAUUAAAUGUGUAUGAUUAAAUCAAAAUUAAAAUUUGAAUUAUACAUUUGAACCACAAUUAGAGUUCCACGUGUAUGAUUACACCAAACUAAAGUUCAUAUAUAUAAUUGCACAUUAAAUUAAAGUUUAUAUAUAAUUUUAAGUUUUAUCCCUAUUUGAAAUUAUCAAAGACAAAUGAGAUUAACGAGAUGUAUUAUAUUAUAAACAAAGUUCGAUUCUUUGAAAAAGUUAAGCUCCAAUUUCAGAAGUUUUUUUUUCCAAAGUUUAUCAAACGAAUUCAAACACUAUGAGAUUAAACAACAUAUAAUUUUUUAAAUCUAAAAUAUGGAUUUUUUUUCUUUUUUAAAUCUAAAGUCAGUUCCAAUUUUCUAGUGUUUUAGAUUGUUUACUAACACUAAAAAGCACACCACAUUGUAAGGCAUCAUUUCUUUCAUUGUAUUUUUUUUUUUUACGUAGACACCAAAAUUUCAUCGGGAUACAAAUCAGCACUUUGUGGUAAACUCAAUUUAACUCAAUUUUAAUUGUAGCAAAGCUUUUAACCGGGGGCUCUUUUUCCACCAUUUUUCUUCUAACACUUUCGGCUCCCAGCACUCUGGAGGCAUCCUCCAUCACUGAACAUUCUUCACUCACCUUCAUCAUUGCCACCACCAACCACAUCAGCAUCAGAAUCAACAUAAUCAUCUUCAUCUCAGUCACCUCUCUCACCUCUAACCCAUACCAACAUUUUUAGGGUACAAAAUUGUGCUCCAAGACACAAGCAUAGUGACACCUGAGAAUCAUCCAAUUCAUCUUCAUGUAUACGAUUUCUAUAUCAUUGCACAACGUUUAAAGAACUUCGAUCCUAAAAGGGAUACUUCUAAAUUCAACCUUGUUGAUCCACCUGUGAGGAACACCGUUGGAGUGCCUGUGAAUGGAUGGGCAACCAUCAGAUUCGUCGCUGAUAAUCCAGGUAAACACCCUUCUUCAUCAUUUCAAUUACUGUGAUUCCAUUACCAAUUUUUUACUUGUUAUUAGUAUUUUUCUUAAUCAUUUUCAUAGUAUUGUGGCAUACCAAUUCUUCCCUGCAUCUGGGAAACUAGUUUAAUGCUCUGUUUCAUUGGAUAAAUUUCCCUAAAAAGUAUGUGUACAUUGUAAUAAUAGUGUGAGAUAGUGUCGGCCUUUGGCUAACAUUGGAAAACAUACUAGAUUGUAACACAAAAAUUCUUUCAUUAUAUUUUAAUUAUUAUUAUCAUAUUAUUACAUACAAAGUUUAAUUGAAUGGUAAUUUUUAACGUAAUAAUAUUAUCAUUGAAAGGAUAAAUAGACUAAUAUAAAAACAAGUGUCAAGCUGCACUAAAACCCGGACCAACGGGUCCACCCUUUACACCCAGACCUAAAGCAUAAGACGUGAUUGAAAAAUGCUUGUAGUCAUAAGAAACUAAUUACCAUUUUCUUCAAAGAUAACGUACCUCCUGACUGGAUAUUCCAUGUCCUGUGCAUUGCUAAAUGAUACAUAAAAUUACAAUAGAAUCUGGAAAAUGAAUGUCAAUGCUACGAGUAGGAUAUGAUAGAGAAAUUUACUUUUCAACAACUAUAUAUAUCAACUACCUUUUCAAAUUAGAAAGACUAAUGCUUAAUUAGACUAAUGCUUAAUUACCAGCUAAUUUUGAAACAAGAAUUCUGAUGGAGUCACCUACACCUUACCUUAAACAUGAUAAUGCUGGCAAUUAUGGUGAACGUUGUGAACAUGACAUAGUAAACAGGACAUACAACAGUAGUAUGAAAAGUGUCUAAAGCAUGCAAAAUUGUAAGCUUUUAGUAGCAUCAAGAAUAAUAACAACUUAAAUUUAGAGUCAAUCAUCAUAUUAAAUCAAGAAUAUAAGUUGAAAGAAAUUAUUUUUUUAAAAAACACAUUUAUGCUUUUUUAUCCUAUAAGCAAUUUAAUAAUGAACAAAUUGAUCUCUCAACAAAAAUUACAAAAUAUUUCAAAAUAGUUUUUAAAAUUCAAAAUAUUUAUAAAAAAAUUAAAUUAUAUUUAUUUUUUCAAUUGUAAGAAUAUUUUUAUUAUUUUGUUUUGAAAAAGUUUUCAAAUGUAUAUAGUUUUAAAUUUAUGUGCUCUAACAUUGAAUUAGUUAUCCUAUAACAAGAUUUUAAUUUGACAUAUUUAAUUUUUUAAUUGAACUUGAAUAAUUUCACUCGAUUCAAUUUGACUCGAAUUUUAUUUCACUCGACUCAAUUCGAAAAAAUGUCAAAUCAAGUUAGGAUGAUAAAUAGGACUCAUUAGUUCAAUUAACUCAAAAAAUUUUCACUUGAUUCGAUUAAACACUCAUAAAAAUCAUCAAAAAUAAAUGAGACGGAGAUAAUUUGCUGAAGGAUAAGAUGAAAUGUGUUUUAGAAAUUAACAUUUUUUUUCUUUGGCAUGCAAGCUAAUGUUCAAGUCUUUUUACCCAAUAAUGAGUACUCCUAAAUCCAACUUAUAAAUAUGUUAUGAUCUACCAACGGGCUUAAUUAAAUCCAACACCCCAAAUUAUGGGCUCAACUCUAAAUUCAAGAUUUGGCAUUGCAUGCAAAUGUCUAAGUCUUUGCCCGAUCCUUACUAGAUGAAAACAAUGGUUUACCACUUUGUUUAAGUCAAGUCAUUAUAAACACAAAAAUAAAGCAUUUGUGUUAGCUGGUUGAGAUGGAUUGAUGAGUGAAAAUUAUGAUGACCACACAAUUUCUGCGAAACUUCGAUUGGUACAAAAUAAGUGCGAGGCUGUACCAAAACCCAACAUGUGUUUGAUAAAAUAAAAACCCAAUGUGUCAGCAAAAGGUGGGAGUAGCAGCAGCAGCUGUCUCUUUACACAAUCAGUACAAUGUCCAUCAGAUAUGGCUUUCAUGUUUGCUGGCUGUGAAGGAGGAUUGUUUCCAUACAACUUAUUUAUACACAAAUUAGUUCUUUCCAUACAUUAUUUUGAAUUUUGGACUAAGCCCGAUCACUACUGCAUCAAUGUUGUACCACUAACUUUAUUUUGGUCAAUUAAUAAAAAAAAAUGGAAUUGUGGUGAUUUUUUUUAGCUGAUUGAGAUAAAAUGAUGGCUCAAAGACUAAAUUUUCUCAUAACUUUGAUGACUUUUCAAUGAACUUAAAGUGUAUGGAAUCAAUAGAAAUUUAUGGAAUGAGAUAUUAUUGGACUUAGUCUUAGCCUUUUGGCACUGUAUGCAAAUGUCUAAAUCUUUUUUACCCCAUCAAAACAAUGUUUAGCAAGUUUCUUAUGUAGUUGAGAUGGAUUGAUGGGCACAAGUAGCGGAAAUUUUGAUGAUAAAAUGUUUACAAUUUUCCUCUUCUUAGCAAUUUCUUUGAAAGAAACAUAUUUAAAUUUUCACAAUAAAAUUUCUUUAGAUUUAAUUGAAAUUAUCAAAGAAAAAUGAGAUUGACAAGAUAUCUUAUAUUAUUAACAAUUUUUCGAUUCUUUCAAAAAAUUAAUUUCAAUUUCAAAAGUUUUUUGAAAUUAAUAGAACUAUCAUUGAAAGGAUAAACAAACUAGUAUAAAAAUAAGUGUCCGGCUGAACUAAAACUCAGACCAACAGGUCCACCCUUUACACCCGGUCCUAAAGCCCAACACGUGAUUGAUAAAAUAUAAAGCUAAUAUCUGUUUGGAAGAGCAAAGGAUGAGAGUAGCAGCAUCUGCGUCUCUUUACACAAUCCGUCCAAUGUCCAUCAGAUAUGGCUUCCAUCAACAUCAUGCCAUUAAAUCUCCUCAGCUGUACAAAUAUUCUGAAGAUAAAAUAAUUGAAGUAAAAGUAAAUUGCAUAUAAAAGAAAGCUUGGGCAGCCAUUUCCUUGUUUAUAAUAUCAUUAUUAGCAUGGAAAUUCAGUAGCAGUGAAACAUUGCAUCCCCCAAAUCCACAGGGACCUGGAUGCAAAAUGAAUAAACACUAAUAUAUACUCAUGGAAAACUACAAAAGGAAAAAAGUGCAUAUAAAGCAAAAUUACAAACCAGUGGAUUGAUCUUGUUAGGAUCAUUGCCUACAUUCUUCAUGAACCUCACAACUGUACAUUCCAUGUCCUGCUUCAAGUACCUCCUGCAUUGCUCAAUGGUAACAUCAAAUUACAAGUACGAUAUAAUAGUGAACUUGGUAAAGACAGCAAAAAAUGAGGUUAUAUAUAUAUAUAUAUAUAUCAACUAUCUGUUCAAAUUAGAAAGACAAAUGCUUACCAGCUAAUUUUGAAGAAAGAAUUCUGAUGGAGUCACCUAUAUCUUCUGCUAUUUCUUUUCCCACACUUUUUGAACUUGUCCACCCAUUUGUUUCCCAACUCAUUCAGCACUGUAUAUCCAAUACAUAGCCCAACGACUAAUCCACUAGCAUAACCUAUCAACGCAAUUUUCCAAGUAGACAGAGCAUAUAACCAUGAAUCUUCAUCUUCCCCUGGAGGUGGUGGCAUUGGAAGACCAACUUCAUUGCAUUUUCUUGACAAUGGCAGCCCACACAAUUUUGGGUUCCCACGGUAGGAAUCAUUUGUAAAUGUAAUGAAUUGGUUGCUUUGUGGUAUGCUCCCUUCAAGUUGGUUGUAUGACAAGUUCAAUGCUUCCAGGAAAGUUAGACUUGUAAGUUGUGGAGGAAUCUUCCCUGACAGCUUGUUUCUUGAGAGAUCCAAAGAUUCGAGGUCUUUUAGAUUUUGAAGUGCUAAUGGGAUUUCACUAGAGAAGCUAUUGUUGGAUAAGUUCAUCACUCUGAGUGACCUCAGCAUUUGUAUUUCUUCUGGUAUUCUCCCAUGGAAACUAUUGUUGGAAAGGUCAAGACAAGUAAGAAUUGCCAAGACUUUUUGGUAGAACAUUUCAAUCCCUUUGUUAACAAUUGUCACAGAGUCUUGAUAAUAAUUCUCUCCGAUAUAAUUCAGCUUAGCCUUUUCGUCAUUAGUCAUCUUCGCCAUUGCCUUCAAACUCUGCAAAAAUUCAAUGGACAAGUCACCUGAAAAAUUGUUGGAAGCAAUGUCCAAUAUACGUAGCUUUGGAAACCCACAUUCCGUGUCGAUUUUUGAAAUUGUACCGUAGAAUCUGUUUGCUCGCAAAACGAGAACCUUCAAGGAAGGUAGCUUCUCUAGCCAAAAUGGGAAUGUAUCAUGAACCAUAUUAUUUCCGAGGUCCAGAACCUCAAGUGCUGUGCAAUUGGCUAAUGAUCUCGACAGCUUCCCUUCCAAUUUAUUCCCACCUAUUUUGAGUGACCUUACUCUAGUGGGUUGAAGGAAAUCAAUGGAUAGUUCACCAGAAAACUGGUUUGAAGCAAUGUCCAAUACAUCCAAAGUUGGGAAAACAGAUUUAUGUUUGAAAUGUUUAAUUUGACCAUAAAACCUGUUUUCCCGCAAAAUGAGAACCUUUAGCGCAGGCAAUUUCUCCAACCAAAAAGGGAAUGUAUCAUUGAUCAUGUUGCUUCCUACAUCCAAAACCAUAAGUUGAGUGCAUUUUGCUAAUGAUCUGGGCAACUUCCCUUCCAAUCUAUUCUCACUAACUUUCAGAAAUUGCAGUUGGGUUGCUUUUGAAAAUUUUGGUAUCAUUCCACUGAAGUUAUUUCCUUGCAAACCCAACCAACUCAGAGCACUCAUAUUGCCCAAGCAAUUUGGAAUUGGGCCACUCAAAUUGUUAUAAGAUACAUCGAAACUGUAAAGUUGACUCAUAUUGCAUAACCAAUUUGGAAUUGGGCCACUCGAAUUGUUAUAAGAUGCAUCUAAACCGCUAAGCUGACUCAUAUUGCAUAACCAAUUUGGAAUUGGGCCACUCAAAUUGUUAUAAGAUGCAUCUAAACCGCUAAGCUGACUCAUAUUGCAUAACCAAUUUGGAAUUGGGCCACUCAAAUUGUUAGAAGAUGCGUCGAAUUCUUCUAAAUUUUCUUGACUCUUUAAGAACUCCGGAAAUGCACUUAUGUUACAAGAUUCCAGACGCAAUCGCCUCAACAUUGGGAAAGAGAAGUUUGCAUCACUUAAAGGAAGUUGUUUUGGAAAAUCAAUCACAUUGAAAGAAAGGUCUAAGGAUAAAAGACUGCUCUUCCACAACCAAUUAGGCACAACACCAUGGAUAUGGUUGCUAGAAAGAUCUAAGUCAACCAACUUGUCUUGUGUUUUGAUGAACUCUGGAAACGCACUUAUGUUACAGGAUGUCAAACGCAAGUCUUUCAACAUUGGAAAUGAAAAGUUUGCAUCAUUUAAGGGAAGCUGUUUUGGAAAAUCAAUCAUAUUGAAAGAAAGGUCUACCCAUGAAAGACUGCUCUUCCACAACCAAUUGGGCACAAAACCAUGGAUAUGGUUGUUAGAAAGAUCUAAGCCAACCAACUUGUCUUGCCUUUUAAUGAAUUCUGGAAAUUCAGUAAGGUUGCAUGACCAUAGCCUUAGUGUCUCUAAUUGGGGUAAAGUAAGACUUCUGUUGUCGCUUUCAAUUAACAAGCUUAUAUUGUUUAGCCAGAGAGUCCUUAAGUUGUUGAGUUGGACAAACAUGUCAAGCUUCAUGGAACUGAAGCUAUUGCUUUCAAUAUAAAGCCAUUCAAGCCUUGGAAGUUGAAGGAUUGACUUUGGGAUUGGUCCUGUUAAAUAAUUAUUGCCUAUAUAUAAUUCUUGAAUCAAAGAAGAAGAUGCAUUGGGGAACUCAUCAAUUUUCCCAACCAAGUGAUUUUCUCCAAGAUACAGGGUCUUUAAUGAUGGAAGAGUGAAUAAAGAAGAAUGUAUUGAUCCAGAAAGCAUGUUCCCUCCCAGAUAUAGGUUGACCAGGUGACUAAGAUUUGUAAUUGACGAUGGAAUAGGUCCAAAAAAAUUGCAAUAAGAAAGCUCUAAAUUUGUCAGGAACUUAAGAUUACCAAUCGAUUCAGGUAGUUUUCCACUGAAAUUUGUAUGAUAAAGUGACAGACUCAGUAAUGCAUUGUUUGCUGGAAAUUCUGGCAACUGACCCAUAAGUUGGUCAUUGCGUGAAAUGUCAAUGCUUUGAAUUUUUGGCAAUAAGAGAAUUCCGGUUGGAAAAUGCCCACGCAAAUUACAGUACCUCAAACUGAGAGAAACCAAACGAGAGGAAAUUUCCAAGAAAUUGGGAGGUAAAUAAGAGAUUGGGUUCCCAUCAAGGAUAAGUUUGGAAAGAAAAGAGAGUCUUGAGAGUGAAGAACAUAAUGGACCUUUCAAACCACAGCUUGACAGACUCAACACAUGCAGGUUUGGAAGUACAAGAGAUGUGGUUUCACACCAUUUAGUACUUUGAGUUGAAAUGUCGACACCAUCCAAAUAAAGCUCCGUGAGAAACUUCAAAUUCUUGAUAAAUGUCUUGAAGUUUGGUUUCUCCAAUUUUAAAGUAGCUGAAUUAUAAUCGUAACCAUUUCUCCAAUAGCAAUCAUCUUGAUAAGAUAGGUUCAGAGAGACUAACCUUGUUAAGAAUGAGAUCUUCAUUGGAAUUUGGCCAUGGAAACAUGAGCUUGAAAGGUUGAGAUGAGUUAGAUUUUGGAGUUUAUCAAACCCAUAGGAAAACAGAGUGGUAUUAAAGUUGUUUCCAGCAAGAUUAAGGUGUUGAAGAUGAUGGAGAUCUAAUAUGGAGUUGAAGCCGCCUGAAAGGUUUUUGUAACUAAGAUCAAUGCCAACAACAUGACCAUAAGCAUCACAAGUGACUCCUUCCCAAGAACAACAAUCAGUGUUGACAUCCCAGAGGUCGAAUUUGGAAGAGAAAGUAAAAUUAGGGGCAUAGUAAAGAUGAUGCUGCAGUUGCAGGAGAGGAGCUCUCUGGUCAUCAAGGCAUUGCUUAGGGAGAUGAGUUUGAGGAGGUGAAAAAGACAAGACAAGAGAAAGGAAGCAUGAGAAGAGAAAGAGUGAAAUAAGAAAAUGAAGAGUGUUCAUGUUUGUUGGGUGUGAAGAAGGAUUGUGCUUGGCAUGCAACUUAUUUAUACACAAAUGUGUAGUUUUCAUGUUUGGCAUAUAAAUAAUUUAUUAUUAGUAUUAUUAUUAUUAUCCCAUGCUGGAAAAGGUUGACCAAAAAGACAUAACUAAAGUGGUGGAACAUUAUUUUGAUGCAGUAUUGAUUGGGCAAAAAGACAUGGAAAUUGCAUGCUAUGCAUUUAUUAUUAGUAUUAGAAAUAAGUUGUUAAAUUCACUUAAUUUGCCUUGCGUCUUUUUUUUUUCUUUUUCUUUUUUUGUUAAUUUUAAUUUUGAAGAAUGAAAUUUUAAUAAGAAAACUAAAACCUUGGCAUUAAUAAGAAAAAUAAGAUGAAUAAAAUAUUAAAAUCUCAUUCUUCAAAAUUAAAAUUAACAAAAAAAAACCCAAGGCAAAUUAAGUGUAUAGAAUUUUCCACUUUUGAAAUAGACAUAUUUAAAUUUCAUCUUUAAAACUUUUCUAGAUUGUAUAUGGGUGAGAAAUUUGAAGAAAAUUUUUCAUUUCUACAUUAUUAUUUUAUUUUAAUAUUUUUUAUGUUUUAUAUUAUUAAAUAUUUUUAUAAUUCGAGUUUCAAAUUGAAUUUUACAAUUUAAAUAACUCGAAUACUUCAAACAAUAAAUUGAUGUACAUGCUCCUUUGGUCCCUGUUAAUUUUAAAAAUUAACAAAUUGAUCUCUCUCAACAAAAGUUUUCGAAAAACAAUAAUAAUAAUUUUUAAAAUCAAAAUAUUCAUAAAAUUUCAAACUUUAUACUAUGUAAAAACUAUAAUAAUUUUAAAUCAUAAUUGUUUUAAUUUGAAAUUUUUAAAAUCUUUAAUUUAGGACCAGAAAAAAUUGUAGCAUGAAACAUUAUAGACCUUUUAAGUCUUAAGUCUUUGGCAUUGCAUGCAAAUGUCCAAGUUUUUAUUGCACAAAAACAACGUUCAAUCAAUGUGUACAAGUCAAGUCACCUUAUAAAUUGAUGGACACAAUGAGUGGAAAUUUUGAUUAUAGAAUAUAUAGAAUUUUUCACUUUUGAAAGAAACAUAUUUAAAUUUCAUCUUUCAAACUUUCUUACAGGCGUGCGAAAUAUAAUUUUAUUUAAUUUUAAUAUUUUUAUGUUUUAAAUUAUUAAAAAUAUUUAUAAUUUGAGAUUCAAGUUAAAUUUUAUAAUUUAAAUAACUCGACUAAUUCAAACACAGAUUGAUAUAUAUACUCCUUUGAUUCUUGUCAAUUUUAAAAAUUAACAAAUUAAUCUUUCUCAACAAAAAUUACAAAAAAAUUAAAAUAAUUUUUAAAGUUAAAAUAUUCAUAAAAAUUCUAAAAUUUAUAUUAUAUAAAAACUAUAAUAAUUUUUAUUAUUAUUUCACUUUAAAACAGUUUUCAAAUAUUUAUGAUUUCAAAUAUUAAUUAUACUAUUACAAGAUUUUAGUUUGACAUGUUUAAUUUUUUAAUUUAAAUCAAACAAUUUAUAUAUUUUAAGUAUUGACCUUUUAGAAAAAAAUAUCCAUGUUACAAAUAUUUUAUCAUUAAAUUACUUGAAUUUUAUCAUUUUUAUGUUAUAUAUAAUUAUUUCUACAUCAUUUAAUUUUUUUAAAUAAAAAAAUUACAAUAUAAAUUUUUAACUAAAUUUUGUUAUAGCACCGAAAAUAUAAAAUUUAACUUAUAAUAUAAAAUCAAUUUGUUAAUGAAUAUCCAACUUGUAAAUAUGUAAUGAUUUAUCAAAUGGUUAAUUCACCUUACAUCUUAAAUGUAUACAUCGAAUUUUAAAUUGACCCCUAAUUUUAUAAUGUUUUAAUUAAGUUCUCAAAUUAUGAGUAACGUUUUAAUUUAAAAUUUUUAAAAUCUUUAAUUUUGGACCAGAACAAUUGAUAAUAUGAAAUAUUAUAGGCCUUUUAAGUCUUAAGUCUUUGGCAUUGCAUGCAAAUGUCCAAGUUUUUAUUGCACAAAGACAACGUUCAACCAAUGUGUACAAGUCAAGUCACCUUAUAGAUUGAUGGACUCAAUGAGUGGAAAUUUUGAUGAUAGAAUAUAUAGAAUUUUUCAUUUUUAAAAGAAUCAUAUUUAAAUUCUUUCAAACUUUCUUAGAGCGUGAGAAAUAUUUUCAUUUCUAUAUUAUUAUUUAAUUUUAAUAUUUUUUAUGUUUUAUAUUAUUAAAAAUAUUUAUAAUUCAAGAUUCGAGUUAAAUUUUAUAAUUUAAAUAACUCAAAUAAUUCAAAUAACAGAUUGAUAUAUAUACUCCUUUGAUUCUUGUCAAUUUUAAAAAUUAAUAAAUUAAUCUCUCUCAACAAAAAUUACAAAAAAAUUAAAAUAAUUUUUAAAAUCAAAAUAUUCUUAAAAAUUCUAAAAUUUAUAUUAUGUAUUUUUAAGGAAAUUUUGUUAUAGCACCAAAAAAAUUAAAAUUGAAAUUGUAAUAUAAAAUCAAUUUAUUAAUGAGUAUCAAACUUAUAAAUAUGUUAUGAUUUAUCAAAGGCUUAAUUCGCCUUACAUCUCAAAAUUAUACAUCAAAUUUUAAAUUAAGUUUCUAGAUUUCAUAAUGUUCUAAUUAAGUUCUUAAAUUAUAAAUAAUACUCUAAUUUGAAAUUCUUAAUAUCUUUAACUUUGGAUCGGGAAAAAUGAUAGUAUGAAAUAACUUAAGUCUUUGGCGUUGCAUGCAAGUGUCCAAAUGUCGAUUGCACAAAAACAACGUUCAACCAUUAUAUAGGCAAAAUUAUAGUAAAUUUGUUAGUUGAGAUGGAUUGAUGGAUACAAGGAGUGGAAAUUUUCUUAAAGUGUUUUUGGGGAAGUUUGGAGAAAGACUUUCAUUUUUACAUUAUUAUUUAAUUUUUAUUUAAUUUAAAUAUUUUUAUGUUUUAUAUUAUUAAAUAUAAAACAUAAAAUUAUUUAUAAGUCAAGUUUCGAAUUAAAUUUUACUAUUUGAAUAACUCGAAUAAUUUGAACAAUUCAUACAACAGAUUGGUACGCAUACUCAUUUGAUCCCUAUUAAUUUUGAAACUUAGAAACUUUAUCUCUCAACAAAAAUUCAAAAUAUUAAUAAAAAUUCCAAAAUUUAUAUUUAAAAAAAACUAUAAUAUUUUUUUAUUAUUUUUCUUUAAAGAAAAUCAAAUAUAUAUAGUUUGAAAUUUUUGUGCUCUAACAUGAAAUUAAUUAUAUUAUAACUAGAUUUUAAUUUGACAUGUUUAAUUUUUUAAAUUUAAAUCAAACAAUUUCACACGAUAAUGUUUUUUAUAUAGUCUAUAAUUUUGAGUAUAAACACAGGUCAAAUUAAUACAAAUACAUAAGAGCUCAAAAAUAACACUAAAAACAAACAAUUGUUGGAUUUAUUAGUAGAGAAUUGGAUUUUUAAUUCUAAUGAUUAAAUAUCAAACUCAAACAACUUCAAAUAUAUAUACAUAAAGGAUGUUAUGAAAAAUAAAAUUAACAAAUGAAAAAACAUAAGGAACAUUUCAGUAGCAACUUUUUACAUAGACAUCAAAUAAAGAAACACUCUUAAUUUUACUUUUGUUUGUCUCUCUUCUUCUUUUUUUACCUUUCUUGUAUGAAACUAAAUGCAAGAAAAGUAAAGAUUAGAAUCCAAAUACGAAUUUCAAACCUGUAGGGCUGAGUAUCUAGAUUCGAGACUAUAUUUAGUUCAGGAGAUGUAUAAUCAGGGAGUCUGCCACUGAGAACUUUUUCCCAUAUCUUUGGUUUUGUGAAGGAGGAAUAUUGUGCCUGAUAAAAUUAUAAUAAAUCCACAUAAUUCUGUUGUAAUCUCUGUCCCGCCUUAUGAAUAGGAUUGUAUAUAAAUCAAGUUUAAUCCGUCAGUUUAUUUUUUUUGGCCUAUUAGUGUUCACGUUUAUGCAUAUAAACUAAAUAAAUAUGUCUACGAUGUUCAUGAAAAUAGUCAAACAUUUCCAUAAGAAAGUUAGUCAAACUCAAAAAUAAAAAUAAAAUUUGUUGAUUUACACUCCCUACCUAUAUAAGUGGAGUAAGGAUGUAUAUAGAUAAAAACCUUACCUUAAACAUGAUAAUGCUGGCAAUAAUGGUGAACGUUGUGAACAUGACAUAGUAAACAGGACAUACAACAGUAGUAUUAAAAGUGUCUAAAGCAUGCAAAAUUGUAAGCUUUUAGUAGCAUCAAGAAUAAUAACAAUAACUUAAAUUUAGAGUCAAUCAUCAUAUUAAAUCAAGAAUACAAGGUUGAAAGAAAUUAUUUAAAAAAAAACACGUUUAUGCUUUUUUAUUCUAUAAGCAAUUUAAUAAUAAGCAAAUUGAUCUCUCAACAAAAAUUACAAAAUAAUUUUUAAAAUUCAAAAUAUUUAUAAAAAUUUCAAAUUUCAAAUUUCACUUCACUCAACUCAAUUCGAAAAAAUGUCAAAUCGAGUUAGGAUGAUAAAUAUGACUCAUCAGUUCAAUUAACUCAAAAAAUUUUCACUUGAUUUGAUCAAACACUCAUAAAAAUCAUCAAAAAUAAAUGAGACAGAGAUAAUUUGUUAAAGUAUAAGAUGAAAUGUGUUUUAGAAUUAACAUUUUUUUUCUUUGGCAUGCAAGCUAAUGUUCAAGUCUUUUUACCCAUUAAUAAAUCCUAAUUUAUUAAGUAGUAUCCAACUUAUAAAUAUGUUAUGAUCUAUCAACGGGUUUAAUUAAAUCCAACACCCCAAAUUAUGGGCUCAACUCUAAAUUCAAGAUUUGACAUUGCAUGCAAAUGUCUAAGUCUUUGCCCGAUCCUUGCUAUAUGAAAACAAUGGUUUACCCCUUUGUUUAAGUCAAGUCAUUAUAAGCACAAAAUAAAGCAUUUGUUUUAGCUGGUUGAGAUGGAUUGACGGGAAUAUGGAGUGGAAAUUAUGAUGACGACACAAUUUCUGCGAAACAGAUUAGUACAAAAUAAAUGCGAGGUUGUACUAAAACCCAACAUGUGUUUGCCCGAUCAAUACUGCAUGAGAUGGAUUGAUGGGCACCACUUAUGACUUAUGGGUGGAAAUUUUGAUGAUAAAAAGUGUGGGGUUCUUCUGAAAUUUACUUUGGGUUGAUUGAAAUUGAUGAUCACAGAUUAGUUGAAAUGUCUUACAAUAUUAGCCACUUUUCAAUCCUUUACACUUUCAAAGUUUGUCCAACCAAUUGAAAUGCAACAAGCAUAUAGUUUUUUAAGUCCAAAAUUAGAUUCUUUUUAUUGGUUUACAUAAUUAAUUUUCAUUUUCUCUUCAAUUAUUUAAAUCUAUUAUCUUUCUUUUAUUUUUUCAUGAACAAAGAUAAAAUCAUAAUUGGAUUAAGUCGGGUCAGGUCAUUCUAGAGCAAUAAUCAUAUAAUUUUUGAAGAAUUUUAUCCAAUGGUUGCAUAUAGCUAUACACGCCUAGAUGCCUUGAAAAUAUCAUUGCUUCCGGUCCAUCGACUACUCAGUUACCCUAUUUGAAUACAUGUGUCACCCUAAUCAUCCAAAGACAUUGAAUAAUUUCUUUAAUAAUUCGUAACACAGCUAAAUGGUGGAACUCAACUGAUCAUCUUGAAUCAAUUAGAUUGUAGUCAUAUUAUUCAUCUCAAGGACAAUCCAUUGAAAACCUAAUCUCUAAGUCAUUUGAAAUCCCUCCAAAGCUCCGCAAAGCUCGACAUUGAGUGUAUAACAACAUAAUGUAUUUAGAGACAAAGCUCAUAGAUUUAUUUUCUAAUUAGGAAAUUAUAUGUUUUUAGUGUAGGACUAAUAAAGAAACGAUAGUAUGCAUGGGUUUUUAUCAAAUGGAGUCUUUGACUUAGUCUUGGCAUGCAUACUUGCAAAUGACUCCUAUUGCCCAGUCAUUACUUAAUUAUGUUCUACUAAUUUCCAGGCCGGUUCUUAAUAUUUUUGGGCUUCAGGCAAACAAUAAAUUAGACUUUUUUUAAAAAAAAUUAUAUAAAAUGUAAUGCAAUAACAGCUGAACAUAUUUUGCGGCUUAGGUGAUGAAAUAUUUAUGGUGAAAAAUUAAAAAUCUUAUGCAUCUAAUUAAUUUAUUUUAGUCUGAAAUUUUUUUUCUUAUAUUAAAAACUGAAAAAAAUAAAUUUUUAAGCCCCUUCCACGAUUAUACUCUCAAAUAACCCGAUUGCCGGGGUUGCUAGUUUCCUUAAAAACCACAGAAAUAUAUUAAUCAAGUGAUAGAGACGCAGUGCAAUUUCAACACAAUUUGAAAAAGAUUGAACUUUUAAACUUUCUUGGUUUAAUUGAAAUCACUAAACUAAAUGAAAAAUGAAUUAGUGGAGAUGCCUUGGACGCUUUCUAAUUUCUUUCAAAAAAACUACUUCAAAAAUAUAUCUAUUUUUUCAAACUAAAUAAGAUUAAAGAGUUUGCUGACUGGCAACGGCGCCGUCGUUCACGUUGGCCCGGAAAAAUUAAAAAUUUUCCUUUUUUCUUUCCUCUCUCUAUUGGCCUCCCGAGCUUAGAUCUACCGAUCACCGUCCAAAAAAGUAAGAAAGUUUUGAUUUUUUUUCUUUUUUUUUUGUUUCUUAUAUAUAUAUAUAUAUAUUCAAAAUAAAUAAAUAAUGCCUACCGGCUAAAUUUGAAACAAGAAUUCUGAUGGGAGUCACCUACAUCUUCUUCUAUUUCUUUUCCCACACUUUUUGAACUUAUCAACCCAUUUGUUUCCCAACUCAUUCAGCAUUCUAUAUCCAGCUCAUUUAUUUUCCCUCAAACUUUUAUUCCCCUAAACUUUUUAUUUUUCCCCUAAACUUUUACUUCUCAUCCUUUACUCCCAAAUAAAAAAAUCAAAAUUAUCCAAAAAACCCCUUAAACAUAAAUAGUAAUACUUUUAUUUAUAUCUACUAUUUAUAUUAUUAAAUUAAAUUUCACAUUUUAUAUUAUUUAUAUUAUUGAAUUGUUUAGUCAUAUUGAAUAUUUAUAUUAAAUUUGAAUUAUUAAUGAUGCCAUAAAAUAUUCAUGUUAAAAUUUUAUAUUGGUAUCAAUUUCACAUUUUAUCUUUAAAAUAACUUUUAUUAAAAAAAAGCACAUUUUUACAUUUAAUAUUUUUUUAAUUCCAAAAUACAUAGUGACAAGAAUCUGAAGAUAAUUGAAACAACUAAGCAAGCAAAGAAGCUAACACAUAUAUAAAAGAUUAAAAUAUAAAUUAUGAGGUGAUGAAAGUUAAUAACAAAUUUGAUUAUGGUAGACAAAUUUUAUUACGGUGGGUGACAGUGGUUACAACUACUCAAAAUUAUUUUUAAAAAUUUGACUUGAAUGAAUUCCAUCACAUUUGACUUGAUUCCAGAAAAUUUCAAAUUAAAUUAAGAUGAUAAAAUAUGAUUCAUCAACUUGAUUAACUCGAAAUUUUUCCAUUCCAUUCGAUUCGAUUUCAUUCGAUCGAACACUCACCCCUAACUGCAUGAAAGUAAUGUUCAACCACUUUGUUUAAUUCAAGUCAUUAAAAUAUCAAGUAGUGGAAAUUUCUAAGUCUUUGAUAUGAAUGCAAAAUUCUAAGUCUUUAUAACUGCAUGCCAAUAAUAAUGAUGAUGAUGAUGUACCAAUUUGAUUAAGGAAGGUCAUUAAAAAAAAGAAAUAAUGGUAAUUUUUUAAUAAAAUAAUUUAUUAUUGAAUUUUUUAAGUAAAAUUUGGUAUAAGACCCAAAAAUGGUAUAAAAUUAUUCAUUGAACAUAUAUAAACAUUAUCGUUGAUAAAAAAAAUUUUAAUACUUUAUACUUAUAAAAAAAUGAUAACAUGAGAUAUUAUUGCCUUUAAUCUUAGUCGUUGGCAUUGCAUGCAGAUGCAAAUGUUAAAAGUCUUUUUGCCAUAUCAUUAAUGCAUGAAAACCUAUGUUGAACCACUUUGUUGAACUCUUAAUAUUCUUCUUAUUAAUGCCAGGUUUCAAUCUUCUUGUCGGCUCUUUAUUCUAUAUAAAUGAUUUUCUAAUUUUAAUUUUCUUAAAUUUUAAUCAUUAAAAAAAUAAAAUUAUAGCAAUAAUAAUGUCCUUUAAACCUUAUUAGAGCCAUGAUUACACGUAGAAUGAACAAAGAUAUUUUUGUUCUAACUUCACUUGAAAUAAUGGUUGAAGUUGUUGCCUACCCUAAUCAGCACCAAAAACAUGUCAUCUACCUAAUCAGUCACACCUUCUCCUAUACGCACAUUAAAACCAAUAUUAUUGAUUGUAAAGCAUUCCGUUGUCAAGAUUUAUGACCAUAGACCUAACCAUAAUACUCAAUAAAUUCGCCAACACCACCAUGACCAUGUUUCCUCAACAUUGGUGUUAGAGUCAAAACCAGAUUGGUUUCUGUUACACCGUCUCGAAAUUUCCCAGACAACAUGGACCAUAGGCUGCUGAAUUUUGAAAAUUGAAAUUUUGUAUUGAAUUUCACUUCUAAGUUUUGGUUUUACAAAAGUUUAGGAUAAUGUCAAUAAUUUUGCAUGCUUCGACCGCUACCGCCCACAAUCAGUGCUCCAUGGAUUAUAACAGGCUUUGCAUGCUUCAACCAUUACUACCUUUCUAGCCACAAUGAGAAGGCCAGCAUAUAUAAAAUUCAGCUCAAUUGAUGGCCUUUGGUCGAAAAUAGUUUAUGAUCAUACCAAUUAAAACGCAAUCAUAGGACAUAUAGUCUAUUAAAUCUAAAAUAUGGAUUUUUUUCCCUUUCUUUUUUCUUCAUGUGCUAAUUUUUAUUUCUUGUAAAUAUUUUAAAUAAGUAUUAAUUUCUAUAAAUUCGUUUAAAUGUUUCGUGAAUCAUUUGAAUAAACUACUAUAUUUAUAGUAAAAAUGAGGUUGCAAUUGCAAGAGAGGAGAUAUGUGAUCAUCAAAGCGUUGGCUUGGGAGAUGAGAUUGAGAAAGAGAGGAUGAGAAGAGAAAGAAGAAAGGAAGAAAAAGUGAAACAAGGGAAUGAAGAGUCUUCAUGUUGGUCAAACCUGGUCCAAGACCAUCCAGAAUGCCCCAUAGUUUUGAAUUAUGAGUUUUAUUGGUCUUGUUAAUCAUAUUAAUUUCAAUAUAUUCAUAGACUUAGUCUUAGCCUGUGGCAUUGCAUGCAAAUGCCUAAAUCUUUUUGCAUGAAAACAAUGUUUACCAAACCAAUUCCAAUUCUUUGAAAAAAUUAAUUCCAAUUCCAAAAGGUUUUUUUUAUUUUUUUAUUUCAAAAUUUACCAAACCAAUUGAAACCCAAUGAGAUUAAAGAAUAUAUAAUUAUUUAAAUCUAAAAUAUGAUUUUUUUAUUCGUACAAAACACGGCUAAUUUUAAAUUUUUGUGGUCUCCACAAAUGGCCAGCUACCUGCACAAGGACACUGGCAAAUAACCGCCUGCAGCAGUACAUUCCUCAGCACCAUUCCGCACAGCCAAGGCACCGCAGCUCUAUGAGGAGCACAUACUCCUCUCCAAGCUCCUGGAUCCAAUAAAAAUACAAAAGGAGGUUAGCACCGCCGCCGCCAGAUUUGCCCAUAUGUUAAGAGAAUUCAUCAAUGAAAUUCAUAAGCCCAAUAACAAGGGUGAUUCCAUUACCAUUUUUUUGUUAUUAGUAUUUUUCUUAGUAUUGUAGCAUACCAAUUCUUCCCUGCAUCUGGGAAACUAGUUUAAUCCUCUGUUUCAUUGGAUAAAUUUCCCUACAAAGUAUGUGUACAUUGUAAUGAUAAUGUGACACGUUGUUGGCCUUUACUAGACUGUAAGACAUAAUUUCUUUCAUUAUAUUUUAAUUAUUAUUAUCAUAUUACAUACAAAGUUUAAUUGUAGGGUAUUUUUUUAAAGUAAUAAAACUAUCAUUGAAAGAAUAAAUUGACUAAUCCCAAUACCAAUUUAGAAUAGGAUUAUUGUAUUUAAAGCAGAAGUUCACAGUUGAGUAAACUAAAUCCUAAGAUGAUAAGAUCCAACCAUCCGCGUAUGAUAUAAACUACAUGUAAGAGAACGUCGAGUGCAACAUAUCAGUUUUGGGAUUAACCUUUUCACCAUAUGCUUCUCCUUUUCUCAACUUUAUGCUGCCAAUCUGUGCUUUCUUCUCAGAUUGUUGGCCUGAAAAUUAGAAUAUGAAGCUUCUCAUUUCACUUGCAAUUAUCAUGUUUUUCAUAUGCAUAACAUGGCUAAUUUUUAUUUCUUGUAAAUAAAUAUUUCAUUUCCGUAAAUUCGUUUAAAUGUUUCAUAAUGGGAGAAUCAUUUGAAAAAGCUACCAUAUUUAUAGUGUUUUACAUUGUUUGUCAAUUCCAGAAAACGGACCAUAUUUUAAGAUAUCUAAUUUUUCAUUAUAUUUUACUUACUUAUUUUUAAAGUAAUAAAACUAUUAUUAAAAAAUAAAUAAAUUAUUUGUACAAAAUAAAUGUCAGAUUGCACUAAAACCCGGACCAAUAGAUUUACCCAUUACACCCGAGCCUAAAGCCCAACAUGUGUUUGAUAAUAUAAAACAAAGAAGACAAAACUUAUCAUACUUUGCGUGGUUUUCUACUUGAAAUGAUUCAUUGCCACCAAUUACAUGCAAUGACUUAAUGCUUAGAAGGACAGAGGUCAUUUCCCUGUGACAAAAUAAGAAACACAAGUCAAACCACCAAGAAUAUAACUUCUCAUAAGCAUGCAAAUAUAGGAAUAUUACAUAGGAAAAACAAAAUCACUGUGUCACCACUCCUGCUGCUUAAAUUAAGGAAUUGCAAUGUUGUAUGAUCCAAAAUUAGUUUGUAACAUCAAUCUUUUCAAAAUAUAAAGACUAUAGCUUCAAAAGGAUAUGUUUACCUGUUGACUUUAAUACAUGAAUUCCGACACAGUCACCAAGAUUUUCUUCUGUUUCUUUUCCCAUAUUUUUUGAACUUGUCAACCCAUUUGUUUCCCAACUCAUUCUGUUGUUCCAAUAGGGUCGGAAGCGUGUAAAUUAUUGUACUAAAAAAUCACACAAAGUUCAAUUCCCAGGGAAGAGAGGUGGAUCACAUGGAUCUCUUAAAUACCAAGUCUUUCCUUAGUCAGAAUAUCCCUUCUAUAGUAAUUUAAUAGCACAAUUAAAUACUACUAUUAUACCCUAAAAUAUUGAAAGAAAAAUAGGACAAGAAAGAACACAAGAGUUUUAACGAGGUUCGGUAAAUUAUACCUACGUCCUCGGGCACUAACACUAGAUGAUAACUUUACUAUCUCCAAAAUAUUACAAACAAAUAGAAUUCCUUAAGAAUUCUCAAAUGGGAGAAGAGAGAAAACUAAGAGAGAAAGAUUGGUUGGGAUGGUUGAAAUGAGAAAUGGUUAGGCCUAUUUGAGGUUCAGGGACUAACUUGCAAAUGGCCUAAAAAAUUAGGGACCAAAAUUGCAAUUAUCCCAUUCAACUUUAAACAACUUGCCUAUCACUUUUUUCUUUCGGUGCCACUUGCACCUCCCAUUUUUGACUUUUCAACAAUCUCCACCUUGAAGAUUUGAUUAGGAUAAUCACAUCUUCACACACUUCCUUCAACUCCCCAAAUUAGAUAAAGCUAUCUUUUGUAGCGCCUCCAAAUGCGCUCUCGAGCGCCAUACACCUAAAGGUGCUCAAAUUCUCAGGAUGUUAAUCAAGUUCAAACAAUGAUUAAACUUGAUUGUUGUUACCACCUUGGUCAUCAUAUCUGCGGGAUUAUCUGCUGUCGGAAUCUUCUGAAGUAGAAUUUUUCCUUUUUCAAAGACUUCCCGCACAAAGUGAUAUCUUACGUCGAUAUGCUUGGUUCUUGAAUGAUAGACUUGAUUUUUCGCUAAAUGAAUAGCGCUCUGACUGUCACAAUAUAAACUUAUGUGACUUUGAACAACUCCUAAGUCUUUCAACAAUCCAUUAAGCCAAAUAGCCUCCUUAACAGCUUCUGUAACUGCCAUAUAUUCUGCCUCUGUAGUAGACACAGCUACUGUAGACUGUAAGGUAGACUUCCAACUCACUGGGGCUUUCGCAAGAGUAAACAGAUACCCCAUAGUUGAACGACGUUUAUCUAAAUCACCAGCAAAGUCGGAAUCAACAUAUCCAACUACAAACUGACCAAGUGCUUCAUCCUGUUCAAAAAUUAAACCAACAUCUACGGUUUUUCGAAGAUACCGUAGAAUCCAUUUCACAGCUUGCCAAUGUCCUUUUCCAGGAUCAUGCAUAUACCUGCUCACAACUCCAACAGCUUGUGAAAUGUCAGGCCUCGUACACACCAUCGCAUACAUCAAACUCCCAACUGCAUUAGCAUAUGGGACUUUCGCCAUAUAUUCUCUUUCAUCUUCAGUCUUCGGAGAUAAUUGAGCACUAAGUUUCAAAUGAGAAGCAAGUGGGGUACUUACAUGUUUUGUGUUUUCAUUUACACCAAAACAUUGUAAUACCUUUUUCAGAUAUUGCUUCUGAUUUAAACAGAGCUUGCCUCUCGGUCUAUCUCUACUUAUCUCCAUACCGAGAAUCUUCUUGGCCUCACCUAGAUCUUUCAUCUCGAACUCUUGAUUCAACUGAGCCUUCAGCUUAUCUAUCUCAUUUUGGCUCUUCGAAGCGAUUAACAUAUCAUCAACAUACAAGAGUAGAUAAAUGAAAGAUCCGUCAUGCAGCUUCUGCAAAUAUACACAAUUGUCAUAUUUGCUUCUUGUGUACUUCUGCCUUCUCAUAAAGCUAUCAAAUCACUUGUACCACUGCCUCGGGGAUUGCUUCAAUCCAUAUAGCGAUUUGUUCAGCUUACAAACCCAAUUUCUACCACCAGCAUCUGUGUAUCCUUCGGGCUGAGUCAUAUAGAUCUCCUCUUCUAACUCACCAUGCAAGAAAGCCGUCUUAACAUCAAGUUGAGCUAGCUCCAAAUUCAACUGUGCUACCAAGGCCAACAAAAUUCUAAUGGAGGAAUGCUUCACAACAGGGGAAAAUACAUCAUUGUAGUCAAUUCCCUCCUUCUGAGCGUAGCCUUUAGCUACCAAUCUUGCCUUGUAGCGAAUAUCCUUCUUGCUAGGAGAUCCAUCUUUCUUUGCGAAUACCCACUUGCAUCCGAUUGCCCUUUUACCUUUCGGUAAUUGCGCCAGCUCCCAAGUAUUGUUCUUCCGGAGAGACUGCAUUUCUUCAUCCAUGGUGCUUUUCCAUUUAUCACUUUCUAAGCUUUGCAUUGCUUCUUAAUAAGUGAUAGGAAUAUCAUCAACAACGGGAAGGGCGUAGGCCACCAUAUCAGUAAAUCGAGCAGGUUUACGAAUUUCUCUCCGUGGCCUUGCAACUACAACUGGUUCUGGUGUACUUAGUGGUUCUUGGGUCAGAACCUCUUCAACCUCUAAUUCCUCCAUUAUGGCUGGAGAAUUAGACUUAUUAACUGGGCAAAUCCCCAUCUGCUCAAACUCCACCUGUUUUGGAGUACACUCCACCUGCUGUGGAGUAUUUCUCGUCUGAAUAUCUUUAUCUGCUACUUUUUUCAAUGUGGCAGAUUCAUCAAAGGUAACAUCUCUGCUACAGAUCAUUUUUUUUGUGCUUAAGCACCAAAGACGAAAUCCCUUCACUCCAGAAGUGAUUCCCAUAAAGAGAGCUUUCUUUGCCCUCGGAUCUAACUUUGACUCCUUCACAUAGUAAUAUGCAGUGGAUCUAAACACAUGUAAGGAAUCAUAAUCUGUAGCCGGUUUUCCAGACCAUACCUCCAUAGGAGUUUUUCUUUCUAAUGCAGAUGAUGGCAAACGAUUAACAAGAUGGCCAGCGUAUGUCACAGCCUCAGCCCAAAAUUGCUUGCCCAACCCAGCAUUGGACAACAUACAUCGAACUUUUUCCAGCAAUGUUCGAUUCAUACGCUCUGCCACUCCAUUCUGCUGUGGUGUAUCCCUAACUGUAAAGUGUCGAACAAUACCAUACUCUUGGCACACAUCGAAAAACGGAUCACUUCUAUAUUCCCCUCCAUUGUCUGUCCUAAGCCGCUUGAUUUUCUUGCCAAUCUGGUUUUCGAUCAUAGUUUUCCAUUUAAGAAAAACUCCAAGCACUUCAUCCUUAGUUUUCAUGGUAUACACCCAAACUCUUCUGGAAAAGGCAUCAACAAAAGUAACAAAGUAGUGUUUUCCUCCCAACGAAGGUGUUUUAGAAGGCCCCCACACAUCUGAGUGAACAUAUUCCAAAAUACCUUUUGUAUUAUGGAUCGCAGUGCCGAAUUUCACUCUCUUUUGCUUUCCCAGAACACAAUGCUCGCAAAAUUUUAAUUUGUAAGCCUUUGCACCUUUCAACAAUCCUUGCUUUGCCAGAAUUUGCAAGGAUUUUUCACUGGCAUGUCCCAACUUCAUAUGCCACAAUUGCAUUGAGUCCAAUUCUUUGUUACCGAAAGCUACAGCGACUGCUCCAAUAACUGUACUACCUUGGUAGUAAUACAAGUUAUUUUUCCUGAUGCCCUUCAAUAUCACAAGUGCGCCAGAUGUCACUUUCAAAAUCCCAUCUCUCAUAGUAACAACUGAACCAUUGGAUUCCAAGGCUCCCAAUGAGAUGAGAUUUUUCUUCAAACUGGGCACGUACCGAACAUCAGUCAGAACUCUGGUUAAUCCAUCUUGAUUCUUUAAUUGGAUUGAACCUAUCCCAAUAGUUUUACAGGUAUUGUCAUUGCCCAUAUAAACAACUCCUCCAUUUAGUUCUACUAAAUCAGAGAACCACUCCCGGUUAGGGGACAUAUGAAAGGUACAACCCGAAUCCAAUAUCCACUCAUCUGAAUGGAACGACGAUGAUGAUGCAACCAGUGAUAGUUCAGAGUCACUAGUAUCAUGCUUAGCAACACAAGCAUCUACAGCAGCUUUUCCCUUAUUCUUCAGCUUUGGACAAUUUUUCUUCCAGUGGCCUUUCUCAUGACAAAAGGCACAUUCAUCUUUCCCGAGUCUGGACUUUGACUUUGAUCUCUCCUUUUGAGUUUUCUUCCGAGUGUAUGAACGACCUCGGACUACUAAAGCUUCUGUAUCUCUGAUUGAGUUUUUCUUUUUGUCCUUCUUUCUCUGUUCAUAACUGUAUAAGGCCGCACAGACUUCGCUCAGAGAUAUAUCACUCCUGCCAUGAAGUAGAGUAGUUUCUAGGAACUCAAACUCCUCAGGAAGUGACCCCAACAGCAUCAAAGCCAAAUCUUCAUCUUUGAAUGUCUCAUCCAUAUUUAGCAAAUCAGUGACUAACUGAUUAAAUUUGGUGAUGUGAUCAUUCAUUGUGGUACUUGGGACAUAAGUGAAGCGAAACAGUCUUUUCUUCAAGUGGAGCUUAUUUUGACUGUUUUUCUUCAAAAAAUUUUCUUCAAGUGCCACCCACAACUUAUUUGCAGAAGUCUCCUUUGAAAAAGCAUACCUCUGCUCUCGAGAAAGGCAUGAUCGAAUUGUGCCACAUGCCAACCGAUUGAUCGCCUUCCAAUCUUUCUCCUGUACAUCAUCUGGUUUCUCUUCAUCAAUGGCAAUGUCUAGACCCUGCUGAAAAAGGGCAUCUAGAACCUCACUUUGCCACAUACCAAAAUGGCCCGUGCCAUCAAAGAUCUCCACGGCCAAUCUUGCAUUUGCAAUUGUCGGUCUUGUCCACAUGGACGAUGUUGAAGCUCCUACACCGACCGUUUUCUCCAUAAUCUUUCAAUAUACCUAAGGAAAUCUUUUCUGAUGUGGAAGAUCAGUUUAAACUGCAACCACAGAGCAUACUACGAUUAACCUUCGGCUCUUGAUACCACUUGUUGUUCCAAUAGGGUCGGAAGCGUGUAAAUUAUUGUACUAAAAAAUCACACAAAGUUCAAUUCCCAGGGAAGAGAGGUGGAUCACAUGGAUCUCUUAAAUACCAAGUCUUUCCUUAGUCAGAAUAUCCCUUCUAUAGUAAUUUAAUAGCACAAUUAAAUACUACUAUUAUACCCUCAAAUAUUGAAAAAAAAAUAGGACAAGAAAGAACACAAGAGUUUUAACGAGGUUCGGUAAAUUAUACCUACGUCCUCGGGCACUAACACUAGAUGAUAACUUUACUAUCUCCAAAAUAUUACAAACAAAUAGAAUUCCUUAUGAAUUCUCAAAUGGGAGAAGAGAGAAAACUAAGAGAGAAAGAUUGGUUAGGAUGGUUGAAAUGAGAAAUGGUUAGGCCUAUUUGAAGUUCAGGGACUAACUUGCAAAUGGCCUAAAAAAUUAGAGACCAAAAUUGUAAUUAUCCCAUUCAACUUUAAACAACUUGCCUAUCACUUUUUUCUUUCGGUGCCACUUGCACCUCCCAUUUUUGACUUUUCAACACAUUCAACACUGUAUAUCCGAUACAUAGCCCAGCGACCAAACCACUACCAUAACCUAUCAAAACAAUUUUCCAAGUUGACAUAGCAUAUAACCAUGACUGUUCCUAUUCCCCUGGAGGCGGUGGCACUGGAAGACCGUCUUCAUUGCAUUUCUUGGACAAUGGUUGACCGCAUAAUUUUGGAUUCCCACGAUAAGAAUCAUUUGAAAAUGUACUGAAUUGGUUGCCUUGCGGUAUGCUCCCUUCAAGUGGGUUGUAAGACAAGUUCAGUGCCUCUAGGAAAGUUAGAGUUGUAAGCUGUGGAGGAAUCUUCCCUGAUAGCUCAUUCUGUGAGAGAUCCAAAGACUCCAGAUCUUUUAGGUUUUGAACUGCUACUGGGAUUUCACCGGAGAAGCUAUUAUAGGACAAGUUUAGCACUUUGAGCGACUUCAGCAAUUGUAUUUCUUCUGGUAUUCUCCCAUGGAAAUUAUUGUUGGAAAGGUCAAGACAAGUAAGAGUGGUUAAGAUUUUAUCGUAAAACAGCUCAAUCCCUUUGUUGGAAAUUGUCACUAAAUCUUGAUAAUAAUUCUCUCCAAUGUAAUCCAGCUUAGCUUUGUCGUCAUUUGUUAACUGCAUCAUUACCUUCAAGCUUUGCAAAAAUUCAAUGGACAAGUCGCCUGAAAAUUUGUUGGAAGCAAUGUCCAAUAUACGUAGCUUUGGAAACCCACGUUCUGUGUUGAAUUUUGUAAUUGUACAGUAGAAUCUGUUUGCUCGUAAAAUGACAACCUUCAAGGAAUGCAGCUUCUCUAACCAAAAUGGGAAUGUAUCAUGAACCAUAUUAUUUUCAAGGUCCAAAACCUCAAGUGCUGUGCAAUUGGCUAAUGAUCUCGACAACUUCCCUUCUAAUUUAUUCCCACCUAUUUUGAGUGACCUUAGUCGAGUGGCUUGAAGGAAAUCAAUAGAUAGUUCACCAGAAAACUGGUUUGAAGCAAUGUCCAACACAUUCAAAGUUGGGAAAACAAAUCUAUGUUUAAUUUGACCAUAAAAUCUGUUUUCCCGCAAUAUUAGAACCGUCAAGUAAGGCAAUUUCUCCAACCAAAAAGGGAAUGUAUUAUUCAUCUUGUUGUUUUCCACGUCCAAAACUUAAAGCUGAGUGCCUUCAGCUAAUGAUCUGGGCAACUUCCCUUCCAAUCUAUUCUCACUAACUUUGAGAAUAUAUAAGUGGGUUGCUUUUGAAAAUUUUGGUAACAUUCCACUAAAGUUAUUUCCUUGCAGAUCCAACCAAUAGAGAUCAUUCAUUUUGCCUAAGCAAUUUGGAAUCGCGCCGCUCAAAUUGUUAUGAGAUGCAUUGAAAUGUCUAAGUUGACUCAAAUUGCAAAUAGGUCCAGUCAAGGAGGUUUGUGAAGAAGUUGAACUCUGAUUGGGUAGAAGUUGGUCCAAAGACGAGAGAUGGUUAUUUGCAAGAAACAGAUGCCGCAAACUUUUCUUCCACACCCAUUUUGGUAUUGCACCACUUAUUUUAUUAUUUGAAAGGUCGAGAAAUACUAAAUUUUCUAGACUCUUUAAGAACUCUAGAAACGCACUUAUGUUACAGGGUCUCAAAUCCAAAUCUCUCAACAUUGGAAAUGAGAAGUUUGCAUCAUUUAAGGGAAGCUGUUUUGGAAAAUCAAUCAUAUUGAAAGAAAGCUCUAACCUUGAAAGACUGCUCUUCCACAACCAAUUAGGCACAACACCACGGAUAUGAUUGUUAGAAAGAUCUAAGUCAACCAACUUGUCUUGCCUUUUAAUGAAUUUUGGAAAUUCAGUAAGGUUGCAUGACCUUAGCAUUAGGCUCUCUAAUUGGGGAAAAGUAAGACUUCUGUUGUCGCUUUCAAUUAACAAGCUUACGUUGGAUAAGUGGAGACCCUUUAAGUUCUUAAGUUGGACAAACAUGUCUAGCUUCAUGGAACUGAAGCUAUUGCCUCCGAUAUAAAGUCGUUCAAGACUUGGAAGUUGAAGAAUUGACUUGGGGAUUAGUCCUGUUAAAUAAUUAUUGCCAAUAUAUAAUCUCUCAAUCGAAGAAGAAGAUGCAUUGGGGAACUCAUCAGUUUUCCCAACCAAUUGAUUUUCUCCAAGAUACAAGGUCUUUAAUAAUGGAAGAGUGAAUAAAGAAGAAUGUAUUGAUCCAGAAAGCAUGUUCCCUCCCAGAUGUAGGUUGACCAGGUGACUAAGAUUUGCAAUUGACGAUGGAAUGGGUCCAAAAAAAUUACAAUCAUCAAGAUCUAAAUAUGUCAAGAACUUGAGAUUACUAAUUGAUUGGGGUAGUUUUCCACUGAAAUUUGUAUAAAAAAGCGACAAACUCUGUAAAGCAUUGUUUGCUGGAAAUUCUGGCAACUGACCAUUAAGAAAGUCAUUAUCUGAAAUGUCAAUGCUUUGCAUUUUUGGCGAUAAGAGAUUUUCAGUUGGAAAAUGGCCACUCAAAUUGCAGUUCCUCAAACUGAGAGAAACCAAACGAGAGGAAAUUUCCAAGAAAUUGGGAGGUAAAUAAGAGAUUGGGUUCCCAUCAAGGAUAAGUUUGGAAAGAAACGAGAGUCUUGAGAGUGAAGAACAUAAUGGACCUUUCAAACCACAGCUUGACAGACUCAACACAUGCAGGUUUGGAAGUACAAGAGAUGUGGUUUCACACCAUUUAGUACUUUGAGUUGAAAUGUCGACACCAUCCAAAUAAAGCUCCGUGAGAAACUUCAAAUUCUUGAUAAAUGUCUUGAAGUUUGGUUUCUCCAAUUUUAAAGUAGCUGAAUUAUAAUCGUAACCAUUUCUCCAAUAGCAAUCAUCUUGAUAAGAUAGGUUCAGAGAGACUAACCUUGUUAAGAAUGAGAUCUUCAUUGGAAUUUGGCCAUGGAAACAUGAGCUUGAAAGGUUGAGAUGAGUUAGAUUUUGGAGUUUAUCAAACCCAUAGGAAAACAGAGUGGUAUUAAAGUUGUUUCCAGCAAGAUUCAGGUGUUGAAGAUGAUGGAGAUCGAAUAUGGAGUUGAAGCCGCCUGAAAGGUUUUUGUAACUAAGAUCAGUGCCAACAACAUGACCAUAAGCAUCACAAGUGACUCCUUCCCAAGAACAACAAUCAGUGUUGACAUCCCAGAGGUCGAAUUUGGAAGAGAAAGUAAAAUUAGGGGCAUAGUAAAGAUGAUGCUGCAAUUGCAGGAGAGGAGCUCUCUGGUCAUCAAGGCAUUGCUUAGGGAGAUGAGUUUGAGGAGGUGAAAAAGACAAGACAAGAGAAAGGAAGCAUG
rnacentral:lncRNA from 1 species